rnacentral:rRNA from 1 species
CCUACGGGAGGCAGCAGUGGGGAAUCUUGGACAAUGGGCGCAAGCCUGAUCCAGCCAUGCCGCGUGAGUGAAGAAGGCCUUCGGGUUGUAAAGCUCUUUUGUCAGGGACGAUAAUGACGGUACCUGAAGAAUAAGCCCCGGCAAACUUCGUGCCAGCAGCCGCGGUAAUACGAAGGGGGCUAGCGUUGUUCGGAUUUACUGGGCGUAAAGCGUACGUAGGUGGAUAGUUAAGUGAGAGGUGAAAUCCCAGGGCUCAACCCUGGAACUGCCUUUCAUACUGGUUAUCUUGAGUUCGGAAGAGGUGAGUGGAAUUCCUAGUGUAGAGGUGAAAUUCGUAGAUAUUAGGAAGAACACCGGUGGCGAAGGCGGCUCACUGGUCCGAUACUGACACUGAGGUACGAAAGCGUGGGGAGCAAACAGGAUUAGAUACCCUGGUAGUCCACGCCGUAAACUAUGAGUGCUAGCCGUUGGGAAGCUUGCUUUUCAGUGGCGCAGCUAACGCAUUAAGCACUCCGCCUGGGGAGUACGGUCGCAAGAUUAAAACUUAAAUGAAUUGACGG